UAACUUACUUGGCGUGGAGGAUACCGCGAUCAGGAAGGCGGCUCCUCCUGGGGGAGACUCAAGCCAUUGCACCUCUUUUCCUCGGGAAAGACGCGGCUUGCUGGUUGAUCCUUGCGAAUACUCCUAGUGGGUAUCUCGAGCGCAUAAUUUUUGGUAGUCGGGAUUCGCGUGCGCGCGGUCCCGG